rnacentral:rRNA from 1 species
UUUAAUUCGAAGCAACGCGAAGAACCUUACCUAAGCUUGACAUCACAAUGACAUCUCCUUAAUCGGAGAGUUCCCUUCGGGGACAUUGGUGACAGGUGGUGCAUAGUUGUCGUCAGCUCGUGUCGUGCGAUGUUGGGUUAAGUCCCGCAACGAGCGCAACCCUUGUCUUUAGUUGCCAUCAUUAAGUUGGGCACUCUAGAGAGACUGCCAGGGAUAACCUGGAGGAAGGUGGGGAUGACGUCAAAUCAUCAUGCCCCUUAUGCUUAGGGCUACACACGUGCUACAAUGGGUAGUACAGAGGGUUGCCAAGCCGUAAGGUGGAGCUAAUCCCUUAAAGCUACUCUCAGUUCGGAUUGUAGGCUGAAACUCGCCUACAUGAAGCUGGAGUUACUAGUAAUCGCAGAUCAGAAUGCUGCGGUGAAUGCGUUCCCGGGUCUUGUACACAC